rnacentral:rRNA from 1 species
UACGGGGGGGGCAAGCGUUGUUCGGAAUUACUGGGCGUAAAGGGCUCGUAGGCGGCCAACUAAGUCCGACGUGAAAUCCCCAGGCUUAACCUGGGAACUGCGUCGGAUACUGGAUGGCUUGAAUCCGGGAGAGGGAUGCGGAAUUCCAGGUGUAGCGGUGAAAUGCGUAGAUAUUGGGAGGAACACCAGUGGCGAAGGCGGUCUGCUGGGCCGUUGCUGACGCUGAGGCGCGACAGCGUGGGGAGCAAACAGG